CACUCUUGCCCUGUCCUGAGCCUCCAGGUUCAUCUCCGGCAUCUACUGGCCUCCAGAGAAAAAGAACAGAAGUUCCCAGCUGCAAGAAAAAGAAAAAAAAAAAAAAAGAGUCCAGGAGUAGAUCUCCCGCAAGUAUAUCUCUUCUUUCCCCAAACACCUCUGCAGCUCCAGUGGGUCCUAGGAACCCUGGCUCAACCCAACCCUCCCAGCCCCCUUAAAGUACUCUUCUCCUCAAAGGGCAAGACUUUUGGAUCUUCCAGUAGGGGCGCCCAGGAGCACCCCUCCGUGCUCAAAGACUCACACUCAAGCUUCUCUCUCCCGAACAAGUCUGGAGAAGCCAGGAAAGCUCUUUUUCAUGUUCCAGCUGGACAGGAUCUGAAUCACCCUCCAUCUGAGAGACCC
rnacentral:lncRNA from 1 species